AGCAUAUCAAUAAGCCGAAGAAAA
rnacentral:rRNA from 1 species